GGAGAGGUGCUCGAGAGGCUUAAGAGGACGGUUUGCUAAACCGUUGUAGCGGCAUAAACCGCUACCGUGGGUUCGAAUCCCACCCUCUCCGCCA
rnacentral:tRNA from 1 species